AGGAAUAUUGGUCAAUGGCCGAGAGGCUGAACCAGCCAAGUCGCGUGAAGGAAGAAGGAUCUAUGGUUUGUAAACUUCUUUUAUAGGGGAAUAAAGUGGAGGACGUGUCCUUUUUUGUAUGUACCCUAUGAAUAGGCAUCGGCUAACUCCGUGCCAGCAGCCGCGGUAAUACGGAGGAUGCGAGCGUUAUCCGGAUUUAUUGGGUUUAAAGGGAGCGCAGACGGGAGAUUAAGUCAGUUGUGAAAGUUUGCGGCUCAACCGUAAAAUUGCAGUUGAUACUGGUUUCCUUGAGUGCAGUUGAGGCAGGCGGAAUUCGUGGUGUAGCGGUGAAAUGCUUAGAUAUCACGAAGAACCCCGAUUGCGAAGGCAGCUUGCUAAACUGUAACUGACGUUCAUGCUCGAAAGUGUGGGUAUCAAACAGGAUUAGAUACCCUAGUAGUCCACGCCGUAAACGAUGAGAACUAGGUGUUGGGGGGAAUAACUCAGUGCCGCAGUUAACGCAGUAAGUUCUCCGCCUGGGGAGUAUGCACGCAAGUGUGAAACUCAAAGGAAUUGACGGGGGCCCGCACAAGCGGAGGAACAUGUGGUUUAAUUCGAUGAUACGCGAGGAACCUUACCCGGGCUUAAAUUGCAGACGAAUUACGAGGAAACUUGUAAGCCGCAAGGCGUCUGUGAAGGUGCUGCAUGGUUGUCGUCAGCUCGUGCCGUGAGGUGUCGGCUUAAGUGCCACAACGAGCGCAACCCUCGUGGUCAGUUACUAACAGGUUAAGCUGAGGACUCUGGCCAGACUGCCAUCGUAAGAUGUGAGGAAGGUGGGGAUGACGUCAAAUCAGCACGGCCCUUACGUCCGGGGCUACACACGUGUUACAAUGGGAGGUACAGAAGGCAGCUACCCGGCGACGGGAUGCCAAUCCCCAAAACCUCUCUCAGUUCGGACUGGAGUCUGCAACCCGACUCCACGAAGCUGGAUUCGCUAGUAAUCGCGCAUCAGCCACGGCGCGGUGAAUACGUUCCCG
rnacentral:rRNA from 1 species